rnacentral:misc_RNA from 1 species
AUGUUGACAUCGAGAGUUCGGAUCGGUUUCGAAAAGGUCGAAAAUAAUGAGUGAAAAGGAUGUUGAUGUAGGGAUUUCGAUUUGAUUAGACAGAUCGGAAAUAAUAAGAGGGGGUCUUGGCAUAAAGAAUUCGGAUCUAAUUAGAGAUCAGAAAUGGUGAGUAUGAGGGUUUGACGAGUCAGGAUGAACAUGGAGAGUUCGGGUGACCAGUAAGAGAUCGAAAAUAAAGAGAGCAGAAAAGGAGUUCAGAUAAUAGGAAAGAGAUCAGAAAAUAACACGCACAAUUUAUCAUUCGCAUAUUCACAUAGGAAUUAGAAAGUAGAACCGUCCUAUUCUUUACAUCAUUUUAUAAAUAUUCAUGUCUUUUAUCUGC